rnacentral:snRNA from 1 species
AGCUUUGUGCAGUGGUAGUAUCGUAGCCAAUGAGGUUUAUCCGAGGCACGAUUACUGCUAAUUGAAAAAGUCUUAGGCUUGGUAGCUUCUAUCCUGGUCCUGCAGAUACUUAAGAUGAUUUUCUCUUAUCCCUCAAUCAUUCUUUUAUCCAUCCACUCUUGAGCAUCCAUAAUGUGUCCAGCACUGCCCAAAGAUUGGUAGAAGACAGGGUAUUUGAUUUUAGGAAAU